rnacentral:ribozyme from 13 species
UCUUUUUUUCUAUUUGUCUUUGUUUCUUUUUUUUUUGAUUGUCUGUUUUCUCGUUCGGCGGUUUCUUGUACAAAGGAAGAAGAGAUGGCGCUGGCAAAGAUUGGUAAAC